rnacentral:rRNA from 1 species
CUGAACUUAAGCAUAUCAAUAAGCGGAGGAAAAGAAACUAACAAGGAUUCCCCUAGUAACGGCGAGUGAAGCGGGAAGAGCUCAAAUUUGAAAUCUGGUAGCCUUCGGUUGCCCGAGUUGUAAUCUAGAGAAGUGUUUUCCGUGCCGGCCCAUGUACAAGUCCCUUGGAACAGGGCGUCAUAGAGGGUGAGAAUCCCGUCCUUGACAUGGACCCCCGGUGCUUUGUGAUACACUUUCAACGAGUCGAGUUGUUUGGGAAUGCAGCUCAAAAUGGGUGGUGAAUUCCAUCUAAAGCUAAAUAUUGGCGAGAGACCGAUAGCGAACAAGUACCGUGAGGGAAAGAUGAAAAGCACUUUGGAAAGAGAGUUAAACAGUACGUGAAAUUGUUGAAAGGGAAACGAUUGAAGUCAGUCAUGCUCUUUGGUUUAAGCCGUUCUGCGGUGUAUAUCAUUGAGUGGGGUCAACAUCAGUUUUGAUCGAUGGAUAAAGGCACUAGGAAGGUAGCACUCUCGGGUGAACUUAUAGCCUGGCGUCAUAUACAUUGAUUGGGACUGAGGAACGCAGCAUGCCUUCGGGCCGGGAUUCGUCCACGUACAUGCUUAGGAUGUUGACAUAAUGGCUUUAAACGACCCGU